rnacentral:rRNA from 1 species
UACGGAGGGUGCAAGCAUUAAUCGGAUUUAUUGGGCGUAAAGGGUGCGUAGGCGGCGCGGUAAGUCGGGUGUGAAAUCUCGGAGCUUAACUCCGAAACUGCAUUCGAUACUGCCGUGCUUGAGGACUGGAGAGGAGACUGGAAUUUACGGUGUAGCGGUGAAAUGCGUAGAUAUCGUAAGGAAGACCAGUGGCGGAAGGCGGGUCUCUGGACAGUUCCUGACGCUGAGAAGCGAAAGCGUGGGGAGCGAACAGG